CUUGGUUCUUUUAUUUCUCUUUUAAUUUUUAAUUUUUCCCUUUUUUCCAGAUUACAUAUUGAUACAAUUUUCAAUAACCAGUUUCUGACAUUUUGUGAUCCAUGUUUUCUCUGGCCUUCCCCUUCCCCUAGGAUGGCAGGUCAAGACAUCAACCACUUAGCAGCUCUUGGUAAUGUGGUCAGCUAUUGGUUGGAUUCCUCCUCUCUGACGUGUCAGAUAAUGAAAUCCAUCUUAGAGGGAGGCAUGAGAAUGAACCUCGUUGGCAGUAUUGUGAAACGUACCAGCCUCUUUUCAAAAUAUAGGUUGCCUAUAUUAACAACUACAGGAUAUGCUAAAUUUCCAUAAGAAGAUAAAAAAAGUUAAGAUUUUUUUUAAUCUUAAGUUUUCAGAUUCCCAGAAAUCUAUCUAUUGACCACACACGGGGCUUCAUAUGUCCUGAGUUAAUAAUCCUUCUUUUAAAUUAUCUCAAAGGACCUUUCUUCUUUCUGAUCCUAUCAUUUUUUUUUCUGAAGGAAUAUCUUAAGGAGACCUAGAUUCAAAUACCAUCUCAAAAACUGUGUAAUACUUUACAAGUCAUUUUCUCUGCUUGAGCCUUAAUUUUCUUAUUUUAAAAAAUGGAAAUAAUAAUAGUACCUGCUGACUCUGUUCCAUUAAGUUCAAAAAUUAUGAUUGAUGAUCCUAUCUAAUAUUAUUUAAAUCAUUAAUUUAUGAUGUCUAUUCAGUCUGGCUGAUGAAUUAUUUGAGGCUGCACAUGAUGACCAUUGUCUACCAUAUCUUCAAUACUUUGGAAAUGGCAGCACAGUGUAAUAGAAGGAAAAUAGCUUGAAUUCCUUUACCUGAGUUUGAAUCUUGCCUCUGCCAUGUGCUUCUUAUCUCAAUAAGCCAUUCAUUGAAUCCCACCUCCUCACAUCUAAAAUAAAAUGUUUUGGAUACAGAACA
rnacentral:lncRNA from 1 species